CCCCAGUCACCGCCUGCUAAUCCCCUAGUUAAAACCGGCAAAAGGGCUUUGCAUUUUGCGUAUUCGGGGCUCCUUGGGAUUGUAGAGAGAGGAAGGAGCCUCUAUUGUACUGAUGUAAUCUUCGGUCUUACAUCCCAAACCACUCAGUGGCUAAGAGGGCAAUGCAGUGGUUUGAUUUUUGGGCUGAGAGGAAGAACUGUGAGAAGGUUAAUGUGAUACUAACUGAAGACUUCUUUAAGUCAAUCAGCUUCAAGCUCAAUGUCUCAUGGAGAUUUUAUUGAUUGCUUGGAAGACAAAAGGAGGCCUUCCUUCAGAGUAGCUAAGCUGUGGCUUACAGAAGCAGAGUCCAACUGACUACCAGAGUUCCUGUGUGAUGUCGCACCUUCCCUCACAUCAAAUGUUUCACAGAUGCUGCUUGCCUGAGGAAUUAUGGAGAGAAAAAAUAAAUAAUAGAAAGGAUCCAAAAGAUUGCCAAGUCCAGCUAUUAUCUCCAAGGAAGUUUGUCAUGCACUGUGUCUAAUUGUGGUUGUCCAGCCUAUUCUGACCCACCCAGGAAUGACAUUUUACAUUUCUAGGAAAUUGAUUCCAAUGCUUUCCAACCUUUAUUAGGAAAACUACAUAUAUAUUUAUAACUCCAUUUUUUUUUUUCAAAUAAGCCUUGUUAUGUUUUAUUCUGUCCCUAGUGACAUGAAGAAAACAUUUACUCCAUCUCUUUCGUCAAUGAAAAGUACCUGUGUUCCAUGUCUUCCCCUUCAUGUUUUUCCACCCUGUUUUAUAAAAGUCCAGCUCUUUCAUCAGUGACUAUGUUUGAUGAGACUACUGAUCUGCCCUCCUGCUUUUCUCCUAGUUAUACACACCUCUUCAUUACUGGAAAUUGAUUCUUUAUAACUCCUCCAUAAAUGAUCUUUCUUUCUAACAUGGCAAGAAUACUAUGCUGUACAAGAAAAUUCUUUGAAAAAAUAAAAACAAAAACAACCAAACAAAAAAACCCUCUUCCUGUAUGUAUGUAUGUAUGUCUCUCUCUCUAUAUAUAUAUAUCUAUGUAUACGUUAAAUUGUAACCUUGCAGUGCAGAAAAUAUGUUGUUGACAUUGUUAUUUACAGACCACUGAAACUGCUCUGCAAGCACUGGAGUCAUGGACCACUGAAGAACACAAGUAGAGCAUAUUAUCAAACAUAGAAAAAUUACCCCAAAUGGUCCCUAGAAUGAGGAAGAAGAAAU